UUAACUAGGCAAGUCAGUUAAGAACAAAUUCUUAUUUACAAUGAAGGCCUACCCUGUCCAAACCCGGACGACACCCUAUGGGACUCCCAAUCACAGCAGGAUGUGAUACAGCCUGGAUUCGAACCAGGGACUGUAGUGACACCUCUUGCAUUGAGAUAAAGUGCCUUAGAACACUGCGUCCAUGUGUGUGUGUUAACUAUACUAAAACGCUUAAAGAUAGCUAAAAUGUAAAAUUUCGGUAUCGGAUUCCUUUUGGAAAGGAAAAUAUCAGAUAUCGGCCAAAAAUGUCAUAUCGUCGGUGCAUCCCUACUAACUUCUCCAGAAAACGGAUGUUUUCGUCCUCAUGCUAACUAGCAGUAGUCACAGCAGCCAUUAUUGAAAACGGACCAUGAAAAGACACAUUUUUUUACUUUAACAACAACAUAAAUAAGACUUCAAACUAACAAAGGAAUAACAAUGGUAUAUAAGAGAAAUGUUAAUUUCUCAUGCCUGCAUUUCCCAUUCCUCCACCUGAUUCCUUGGCUGAGCAAUUCCCCCCCAAAAUACAUCAAAUGCACAACAGUUAUUCCAAAAAAUAUGUCAAAGAUCAGGAUGAAAAGUCCAGUUAAGUUUAUUGAAAAAGGUGAAAGCAUGUUGUUUCUCUUGUCAUUGCCCUGGUGUGGAGUUGUCUGAUGACAUCUGCAGCUCUGGUCACACUGUCCCCAUUUCUCUUGGCCGGUCUCUGACAGCACAUACUGACCAACAGGAAAACAUAAUUGAUUUCAGACAGUGGGGGGUGAAGGGGAGUCCAAGGUGAGAAUUUAUAUUUGAGAAGCUCAGUUCUGCUGACAUUUUAAAAAGGAUAUUCUACUCCAAAAUGAAUGGAAAUACAAUUCUAAAAUGUAAUUUCCACCAACUGAAAUGAGCCCAGUAACAUACAUAUUUUGUACAAAGCAUAUAGCCUAUGCAUGGUCCAUAUUAUCAGGUAUGCUAUUAGCAAGAUGCAUUAUCACCUGUAGCCCAACUGAUGAUGCAGCAGAAUAGUGGCUACAAAUAAAUAGGCUAAAGCAUGGGGUUGCUAAUCUGCAUUUACCCUAUUGGGCCAAUCAUUAGCUAAAUGUGAUAUUUUAACUUGUUAGCUAUUGAUAUAUUUUAUGUCCCAAAAAACGUAAUAAACACAGUGAAUAUAAAUUCGGCCUACCUGUUAGGGUAACUUGGUAGUAUGCCGCCAGCCAGGGUAACAUGUCCCUUGCCUGUACUUCUCACAGAAACCACAAUUCUUCCAAACACUUUCCCUGGUUGCCACUACUCUUGCUCAACUAAAAAUGUAAUCAGUCUCACCAUUUUUUAAGUCCCCUAGAAAUAUUUUGUAGGUAGGGUGGCGUUUUACCCCAAGGUACCGUGUUUUACGUUUAGCUCCACUCUCCCCUCUCCUUAACCAUGACACUGUUAAACACUUUAAAAUGGUGCAGAUCCCCAUCUUUUUAACAAAGGCUAUUAAAAAACUGCUGUUUUCUCGAGAUUGCAUUAAGAAUUGUUGUGCAUUGACUGCUUGGAUGUUUCUGCAAAAUGAAUGCGCCUUGAGAGGAAUAUUUCUCAUAUCCAACACACAAGCCGGAUAGGUAAAUAGAUAAACUAUUCUACUAUGGGGUUGUCGGAUUAAUAUAUUCAUUAGUAAAUGUGAACUGUUAUAGCAUCUUCAAAGUGCGCUUCGGCAGAAAUAUUAUUCCAGGGUCCAUGUUUUUAGGGCGUGGCGACAAUAAUUUUUCCGUGGCUAAAUGACUGCAGCGGAAACACUGGUCCCCAAAUCGACCACUAAACCCAAUAUAUUGUGAAGAUCUGAGAAUUUACUGUGGCGAUUUCACAUUGUAUAAAGUAUACCGAGAUAAUACUGCAUAUCCGGGUAUGAAAUCAGGAAGAAAGGAAGUGAAAGAUUUAGGAUACCACCUAGUCGCGAUGCACAGAUGUAUCCCUCUUGGACAUUAUCCGCGCACAGAAAUCCUUUGCCGAAAACCUUCCAGCUAGCUUCACGUGCACUGUGUUUCACGAAUGUUGAAUAAAAUUACAUUUGAAUUUCAGCAUGAAACACACUGAUAAUCUCACUAACGAUAGACUGCUACUUAUUACAGUGGGGUGCCGUUUUGUCUUUGCUAGAACAAAUGCUGUACCUGCUACGUGUAGACCCCAUAGCGACGAUCCUAUCUUUUUUUUUUUUUCAUGUUCUAUCUUUGUUUUGUUUUUUAAAUUUUAUUUUAUUUUUUAAUUUAUUAACAACAAAUCAAUACAUAAAGCACAUGAGGGAACACAAGCAUACAUAGAUUACAAACAAUGGACAAUCGAGCUAGGGGGUACAAUAUCACAUUACAAUUACACAAGGACCUUACGGGACAUGCAUAUACUUACAAUUCUAACAGCUUUUUUGUUAGUAGAGCAUUUAACCGUCUUAGAAUACAGUUCAAUUUCUUUUUGUAGGAUACGAAAAUGUGGUUUUCUGUUUGUAAAUUUACAUUUGUGUAUAUGAAAUUUGGCCAAAAGAAUAAUGAAAUUAAUUACAUAAAAAUGAUUCCGCUUAUUUCUAUUGUAUGUAAAGAAUCCAAACAGUACAUCUCUCCACAAUAGUGUAAAAUCUUCAUAAAUGUGUUCAAUUAUAAACCUACUGAUGUCUUGCCACAGUUUUCUUACAUGCAUACAAUGCCAAAAAGAUGCACAACUGUUUCUGGGUGGUCAUUGCAAAAGGAGCAAUUUGAGUUGAUGUUUUCCUUAAACUUCUUCAUAUAGUGGUUGGCAGGAUAAUAUUUAUGAAUAAUUUAAAAUGAAACUUCCUUAAUUUUGUUAACAAGUAGGUAUGUUUGUGGCAACAUCCAAACUUUUUUCCAACAGAUAUUAUCAAUAAAUCCAUUCCAAUAAGGCAUGCCAUAAGGUAUAGAUACAACAUCCUGUUGAAACAAGGAUCGUAUCGCUCUGUUGUUGAAUGUACCAAAAGAGAAACAAAUCUUUCCUACUGAUGAGCGACGAUCCUGUCUUAUCUACUUGUCAGAAUCUCAAUGCUCGUCAGUGGACAAUGACUUGACUUUGAGCCAACCAGAGAGCAUGAACCCCCACGUGGGGAGCCAACAGGAGUGACAACAAAAUUGAAAAAAUGACAUUCUCCAUACAUACACGGUUAAAUGUCAUGAGCCAGUCACUCUUCAUAUGCAAUAUGGGAUAGUAAGUAGCUAAGUGCACAGAAGCAAUGCACACUAAAUACUUCCAAGGAAGCUAACCACUGUAGCUAGUAAUGACAUAAUUAAAUCACAAUGGAUUGCUUUCCAUGAAACAGCUACCGAGUUGGUGCAUUUUUUAAAUUGUACCUUUAUUUAACUAGGCAAGUCAGUUAAGAACAAAUUAUUAUUUACAAUGACGGCCAAAACCGGGCGAACGCUAAGCCAAUUGUGCGCCGCCCAUAUGGAUACAGCCUGGAUUCGAACCAGGGUGUCCGUAGUGACGCUUCUAGCACUGAGACGAGUGCCUGCGCCACUCGAGAGCAUUGUCCUGAGCCAACUAGCUAUGUUGCGCUAGCUAGCGAAUAUGCUAAUGUUAGCUCGCUAGCGAUGGGCUGGUAGUGGAAUUAUGGAGAUCGAAUUAAAGUGCUUCUUCGUCAUCUUGCUAUGUAGUUAUCUAGCUGUGGCCAUCUGGAUAGUAUCAACAACGGCUUUCUACAAAAUAACAACAGCAGCGGAGCUAGCUAACAUUGGAAUCUAGACCAUGAACUAAACAACACACAGACAUGCAUUGCCGUGCAACGCUACUGCCACCUUCUGGUUUGGAGUAUUUUAACAUGGCUACGUGUCUGACGACCUCAAGAGGACCUGAGCCCGAGGACCAUGCCCCAGGACUACCUGACAUGAUGACUUCUUACUGUCCCCAGUCCACCUGGCCGUGCUGCUGCUCCAGUUUGAACUGUUCUGCCUUAUUAUUAUUCGACCAUACUGGUCAUUUAUGAACAUUUGAACAUCUUGGCCAUGUUCUGUUAUAAUCUCCACCCGGCACAGCCAGAAGAGGACUGGCCACCCCACAUAUGCCUCUCUCUAAUUCUCUCUUUCUUUCUCUCUCUCGGAGGACCUGAGCCCUCGGACUAUGCCCCAGGACUACCUGACAUGAUGACUCCUUGCUUACCCGGCACAGCCAGAGGAGGACUGGCCACCCCACAUAGCCUGGUUCCUCUCUAGGUUUCUUCCUAAGUUUUGGCCUUUCUAGGGAGUUUUUCCUAGACACCGUGCUUCUACACCUGCAUUGCUUGCUGUUUGGGGUUUUAGGCUGGGUUUCUGUACAGCACUUUGAGAUAUCAGCUGAUGUACGAAGGGCUAUAUAAAUACAUUUGAUUUGAUUUGAUUUUAAUGUGUGAUAGUGAGAAGGAAAGAUGUCGAGGUGGGAAACUGUUUUUUUUCACUCGAUCUGUCCAACUUAUCACCUCUAAAAUGUAAAUAAAACACUAUAAAGAGUUUAUAUAA